AAGGUACUGGGGGUUAAGGCCUCAACAUUUCUUUUGGGGGGACACAGUGUAACCCACAAUAGGGGGUCAUUGGAGACAAUGAGCAUCAAAGAGAAAUGGAUGAAAGAGGUCAACAGUGAACGGCUCUAUCUGCCCCUGAAGCUGGGGCAAGGGAAGAUAAAUAUCUUUUCCUUUGGCUUCCACGUGGUGGUGGAAACUGAUUUUGGCCUGAAGGUUGUAUAUGACUGGAAGACCUUCCUGUCCAUCACAGUCCCUCGGAGCAUGCAGAACAGCACCUAUGGUCUGUGUGGCCGCUACAACGGCAACCCUGACGACGACCUGGAGAUGCCCAUGGGUCUGCUUGCAUCGAGCGUCAAUGAGUUUGGGCAGAGCUGGGUGAAGAGGGACACCUUCUGCCAGGUGGGCUGUGGGGACCGCUGUCCGUCCUGUGCCAAGGUGGAAGGUUUCUCCAAAGUGCAGCAGCUGUGCAGCCUGAUCCCCAACCAGAACGCUGCCUUCUCCAAGUGUCACGGCAAAGUUAACCCCACCUUCUUCUAUAAGAACUGCCUGUUUGACUCUUGCAUCGAUGGGGGCGCGGUGCAGACCGCCUGCAGCUGGCUGCAGAACUAUGCCAGCACCUGCCAGACUCAGGGGAUUACGGUGACUGGCUGGAGGAAUUACACGUCCUGCAGUGAGUCCUUCUCAUUGUCCCUCCUUGUAGCUUCUCCUCUUUCUUGAUUGCUCUGGGAAGGCCAGUCUUCCAACUCCCUAGAAGUCAGAGCAAAUUCAGUAGCAAUUUAAGGAUACGCACUUUGGAACUGAGUUUGUUAUCUGAAUGAAGCAUGACAUGUAA
rnacentral:sRNA from 1 species